rnacentral:rRNA from 1 species
UGGGGAAUAUUGGACAAUGGGCGCAAGCCUGAUCCAGCCAUGCCGCGUGAGUGAUGAAGGCCUUAGGGUUGUAAAGCUCUUUCGCCGGUGAAGAUAAUGACGGUAACCGGAGAAGAAGCCCCGGCUAACUUCGUGCCAGCAGCCGCGGUAAUACGAAGGGGGCUAGCGUUGCUCGGAAUCACUGGGCGUAAAGCGCACGUAGGCGGAUCGUUAAGUCAGGGGUGAAAUCCUGGAGCUCAACUCCAGAACUGCCCUUGAUACUGGCGAUCUCGAGUUCGAGAGAGGUUGGUGGAACUCCGAGUGUAGAGGUGAAAUUCGUAGAUAUUCGGAAGAACACCAGUGGCGAAGGCGGCCAACUGGCUCGAUACUGACGCUGAGGUGCGAAAGCGUGGGGAGCAAACAGGAUUAGAUACCCU